rnacentral:lncRNA from 10 species
UCCAGAAUGAGGGAUGUAACAGGAGAAAUAUCCCAGUAGUGUGGGAAAGCUAAUUAGGGGUUUGUACCCAUGGGAACUAUGGGAUAAAACUUCUAAAAUGUGGUGAUACUGAACAGUUGCUCUGAAUUGAUGUCUCCUUUGGAUUCUCCCUAAAGAUAAGCAUGAAGCUUAGAGCCCAGCCACCCUCAAAAAAUUGAUUAAAUUGGACAGAACUCUGCUUUAAAAUCAAACAGAGGUGAAUCCAAAUCUUGCAUACUCCAUCUAUCAUCUUUAUAUGCUUCGAGUGCACUCGUGAAAGCAUCAAGGAAAGCAACAACAACACAGGAGGUGGGAAAGGACCCAACCUUUGCCUGAACAACAGUCACUCUUACAAGGAAAUCAGAAAAUCGUUCUUAAUUCUUUUCUCAUUGGUAACCAGGAUUUUGCCUUUCUCAAGCACUUAGGAGUUCUUCUGCACUGAAUGCUGACACAAUAUCUAGAACUACAGCAGCCAUCUUGAGAUAAAUGAAGGAAACCUAAAAACACCAAGAGACGCAUAAUAAAUGCCAACAGCUUGUAGAAAGUAGAAUUAAGGCUCAUAUACAACCAAGACUACUUUAUCUGACAACACUGUGCUUCAAAAAUGAAGGAGAAAUAAAGAAUACCCCAGAAGUGUUUACAAAUGCUGAGAAAGUACAUUACCACCAGAUUUGCAUUACAAGAAAUGCUGAAGAGAGUUCGUCAAGAUGAAAGAACACUAAAGAACAUCAUAAAAGCAUAAGAAAGUGAAAGUUUAUUGGUAAUAACAAACAUAUACACAAAUGCAGAAUAUUGCUAUAACAGCACUGCACAAGUCAAUUUUAUUCUAAUACAGAAGAUGAGAAAAGUAUAAAAAUAACUAUAACUUAGGCAUAGGUUAAUGGAUACACAAUAGAAGAUGUAAUUUGUGAUGUCCAUAACAUAAUUUGGGGGCAAAAUAAAAGAGUAGGGUUUUUGUGUACAAUUCAAGUUAAGUUGUUAUCAGCUUUAAAAAUAUAUAUAUAUAUGUUAGAUGUUUUAUGUAAGCCAAAUGGUAACUGUUAUAAAAAUUAAUGUUUGUGCCUCCCCCCAAAUUCAUGCUGAAGACCCAAUAUCAUGGUAUUUGGAAGUGGCGCUUUGGGGAGGUAAUGAGAUCAAGAAUAUGUAGCCUUUGUGAAUAGGAUUAGUGUUCUUAUGAGAGAGAUGAGAGACAAAUAAGAGAGACGAUUUUACUUUGUCUCAUGAGGAUAUAUCAGGAAGGCAACUGACUAUAAAUCAGAAUGAGGGCCCUCAGCAAGAACCCAGCCAUGGUGACACCCGAUCUCAGAUUUUUAGCCCUAGAAUGGAGAUAAAUAAAUAUUUGUUGCUUAAGCUUCCCAGUCUAUGAUAGUUUACUAUAACAGGUAAGACAGUAACAUCAAAGAAAAUACUGAUAGAAGAUGCAUAAAAGAAAAUGAUAAAGGAAUCAAAGCAUGUCACUAAAAAAAAAAAAAAGGAAACACAAAAGACAAAAAGAGGAAAAAAACAAAAAAGCUACAAGACAGACAGAAAACAACAAAAUGGCUAUAGUAAGUCCCUCCCUGUCAGCAAUUGCUUUAAGUGUAGAUGGAUAGAACCACCCAAUGAAAAGAGGAACGCAAUGAAUUUUUAAAAUCCAACGAUACAUUGCUUACAAGAGAUUUACUUUAAAGACACAUGUAUUGAGAACAUUUGUAUGUAGAAUGUAAAAAAAAUAAGAACACACAUAGACUGAAAGUGAAAGCGUAGAAGAAAGGUACAGUAUGCAAAUGGUAGCCAAAAGGGAGCAGGGGUGGCCAUACUUAUACCAGACUAAAUGGACUAUAAACUUUAAGUCAAAAACUCUCACAAGAAAUAAAGAAGACAUUUAUGUAUAUAUAUUUACAUAUAUGUGUGUAUAUAUAUACAUAUAUACAUAUAUAUACAUACACACACAUACACAUAUACAUAUAUAUAAAAG